rnacentral:rRNA from 1 species
UACGUAGGGGACAAGCGUUGUCCGGAAUUACUGGGCGUAAAGCGCACGUAGGCGGAUUUGUAAGUCAGGGGUGAAAUCCCGGGGCUCAACCUCGGAACUGCCUUUGAUACUGCAAAUCUCGAGUCCGGAAGAGGUGAGUGGAAUUCCUAGUGUAGAGGUGAAAUUCGUAGAUAUUAGGAAGAACACCAGUGGCGAAGGCGGCUCACUGGUCCGGUACUGACGCUGAGGUGCGAAAGCGUGGGGAGCAAACAGG